rnacentral:rRNA from 1 species
UACGUAGGGUGCGAGCGUUGUCCGGAAUUAUUGGGCGUAAAGAGCUCGUAGGCGGUCUGUCGCGUCUGCUGUGAAAACUCGGGGCUUAACCCCGGGCCUGCAGUGGGUACGGGCAGACUAGAGUGCGGUAGGGGAGACUGGAAUUCCUGGUGUAGCGGUGAAAUGCGCAGAUAUCAGGAGGAACACCGGUGGCGAAGGCGGGUCUCUGGGCCGUAACUGACGCUGAGGAGCGAAAGCAUGGGGGAGCGAACAGG